rnacentral:rRNA from 1 species
GACGAACGCUGGCGGCGUGCCUAAUACAUGCAAGUAGAACGCUGAAGCUUGGUGCUUGCACCGAGCGGAUGAGUUGCGAACGGGUGAGUAACGCGUAGGUAACCUGCCUGGUAGCGGGGGAUAACUAUUGGAAACGAUAGCUAAUACCGCAUAAUAGCAGUUGUUGCAUGACAACUGUUUAAAAGGUGCAAUUGCAUCACUACCAGAUGGACCUGCGUUGUAUUAGCUAGUUGGUGGGGUAACGGCUCACCAAGGCGACGAUACAUAGCCGACCUGAGAGGGUGAUCGGCCACACUGGGACUGAGACACGGCCCAGACUCCUACGGGAGGCAGCAGUAGGGAAUCUUCGGCAAUGGACGGAAGUCUGACCGAGCAACGCCGCGUGAGUGAAGAAGGUUUUCGGAUCGUAAAGCUCUGUUGUAAGAGAAGAACGAGUGUGAGAGUGGAAAGUUCACACUGUGACGUAUCUACCAGAA